rnacentral:rRNA from 1 species
GACGAACCGUGCGAACGUUGUUCGGAAUCACUGGGCUUAAAGGGCGCGUAGGCGGGCUGUCAAGUCCGGGGUGAAAUCUUUCGGCUCAACCGGAAAAGUGCCUUGGAUACUGAUGGUCUGGAGGGAGGUAGGGGUAUGUGGAACUUCCGGUGGAGCGGUGAAAUGCGUUGAUAUCGGAAGGAACGCCGGUGGCGAAAGCGACGUACUGGACCUCUUCUGACGCUGAGGCGCGAAAGCUAGGGGAGCGAACGGGAUUGAGACUACCGUGUC